rnacentral:tRNA from 1 species
UCCCUGGUGGCUCAGAUGGUAAAACGACUGCCUACAAUGCAGGAGACCCAGGUUCGAUCCCUGGGUCGGGAA